rnacentral:rRNA from 1 species
AUGGAGGUAAUAUUUUCUGCUGCUAUGGGUGAGCUUGUCAGUAGAUCCAUAUCUUUCCUGGUGGACAGAUACUUGAAGCAGCGGACGGCCGCGACAACUGAGGAGGAGAGGCUGCACAGCCUGCAACGGCUCCUACUGCGGCUUCAUGUCGUCGUCGAGGAGGCAGAUGACCGGCUCAUCACAAACCAGGCCAUGCUGCAGCAACUCAGCAUACUGAAAAAGGAGAUGUACAGAGGAUAUUACACCCUCGAAAUCUUCCUUUGCCGAGCCCAUGGAGAAGGAAGGGCAAAAGAUCAUGAAGUCAACUACUCUUUUGCACCAUCUAUAUUCAACCCUGCAAAGCGUGUAUGUUUCUGCAGUGGCAACAGGGAAGGUCCGCACAAACUGAGCUGCUGGAGGCUGGAGCAAGUUCUUGGCAGCAUAAGGAACAACAUUGAAGAUGUGGGUGAGUUCAUCAUGUUUCUAAACAUAUGCCCGCGUUUAACCCGCCAACCGUACAACAUGUAUCUACUUCUUAACAAGUGCGUGUUCGGACGCCAAAUGGAGAUGGAACACAUUAUGAACUUCCUGUUGCAAGCGGAAACUGCUCCCAGUGCCGCUACUAAUCCUGCUGUCCUGCCGAUCAUCGGUCCUGGGAAAGUUGGAAAGAGUACCCUGGUCGAGCAUGUGUGUGACAAUGAAAGGGUGCACAACCACUUCUUUCAGAUUUUGUGUUUCAGUGGGGAUGAUCUAAAAGAUGCAAGUCUAGAGACCCUAAGAGAUGGCGGUAGAAUCAAGCAUCGAAACCGUGGCAUGGGCGGUGCAAGGACACUGAUCAUUAUUGAGCUAUUUCUGGACAUCGACAAGUCCGAAUGA